UACGGGGGGAGCAAGCGUUGUUCGGAUUUACUGGGCGUAAAGGGCGCGUAGGCGGCCACCGCAAGUCGACUGUGAAAUCUCCGGGCUUAACCCGGAAAGGUCAGCCGAUACUGCGGGGCUAGAGUGCAGAAGGGGCAACUGGAAUUCUCGGUGUAGCGGUGAAAUGCGUAGAUAUCGAGAGGAACACCGGUGGCGAAGGCGGUUCUCUGGGCCUUACCUGACGCUGAGGAGCGAAAGCGUGGGGAGCGAACAGG
rnacentral:rRNA from 1 species